UUAAUUGAAGAGUUUGAUCAUGGCUCAGAUUGAACGCUGGCGGCAGGCCUAACACAUGCAAGUCGAGCGGCAGCACAGAGGAACUUGUUCCUUGGGUGGCGAGCGGCGGACGGGUGAGUAAUGCCUGGGAAAUUGCCUGGUAGAGGGGGAUAACCAUUGGAAACGAUGGCUAAUACCGCAUAACCUCG
rnacentral:rRNA from 1 species